rnacentral:rRNA from 1 species
GAGUUUGAUCAUGGCUCAGAAUCAACGCUGGCGGCGUGCCUAACACAUGCAAGUCGAGCGAGAAAGCCGGUUUCGGCCGGUGAGUAAAGCGGCGAACGGGUGAGUAACGCGUGGGAGAUCUGCCCUAUCGAGGGGGAUAACCCGGGGAAACCCGGGCUAAGACCGCAUAAGCCUGUGACCGUAAGGGGUGACAGGGAAAGGCCUUCGGGUCGCGAUAGGAGGAGCCCGCGUCCGAUUAGCUAGUUGGUGGGGUAAGAGCCUACCAAGGCGACGAUCGGUAGCCGGUCUGAGAGGACGGACGGCCACACUGGGACUGAGAGACGGCCCAGACUCCUACGGGAGGCAGCAGUGGGGAAUUUUGCGCAAUGGGGGAAACCCUGACGCAGCAACGCCGCGUGGAGGACGAAGGUUUUCGGAUCGUAAACUCCUGUCCAGAGGGAAGAAGGAAGUGACGGUACCUCUGGAGGAAGCCCCGGCUAACUCCGUGCCAGCAGCCGCGGUAAAACGGGGG